UACGUAGGUGACAAGCGUUGUCCGGAUUUACUGGGCGUAAAGAGCGCGCAGGCGGUCGAUCAAGUCGAGUGUGAAAGCCCCCGGCUCAACUGGGGAGGGUCAUUCGAUACUGAUCGACUCGAAGGCAGGAGAGGGUAGUGGAACUCCCGGUGUAGUGGUGAAAUGCGUAGAGAUUGGGAAGAACACCAGUGGCGAAGGCGGCUAUCUGGACGGUUUCUGACACUAAGACUCGAAAGCGUGGGGAGCAAACAGG
rnacentral:rRNA from 1 species